UUCCCCUAGUAACUGCGAGUGAAGCGGGAAAAGCUCAAAUUUAAAAUCUGUCAGUCUUUGGCUGUCCGAGUUGUAAUCUAGAGAAGCGUUAUCCGCGCUGGACCGUGUACAAGUCUCCUGGAAUGGAGCGUCAUAGAGGGUGAGAAUCCCGUCUUUGACACGGACUGCCAGGGCUUUGUGAUGCGCUCUCAAAGAGUCGAGUUGUUUGGGAAUGCAGCUCAAAAUGGGUGGUAAAUUCCAUCUAAAGCUAAAUAUUGGCGAGAGACCGAUAGCGAACAAGUACCGUGAGGGAAAGAUGAAAAGAACUUUGGAAAGAGAGUUAAACAGUACGUGAAAUUGCUGAAAGGGAAACGCUUGAAGUCAGUCGCGUUGUCCAGGGAUCAACCUUGCUUUUGCUUGGUGUACUUUCUGGUUGACGGGUCAGCAUCAAUUUUGACUGUUGGAAAAAGGUCAGGGGAAUGUGGCAUCUUUGGAUGUGUUAUAGCCCUUGGUUGUAUACAAUGGUUGGGAUUGAGGAACUCAGCACGCCGCAAGGCCGAGUAAUAUUUACUACGUACGUGCUUAGGAUGCUGGCAUAAUGGCUUUAAUCGACCCGUCUUGAAACACGGACCAAGGAGUCUAACAUGCCUGCGAGUGUUUGGGUGGAAAACCCGAGCGCGUAAUGAAAGUGAAAGUUGAGAUCCCUGUCGUGGGGAGCAUCGACGCCCGGACCAGACCUUUUGUGACGGCUCCGCGGUAGAGCAUGUAUGUUGGGACCCGAAAGAUGGUGAACUAUGCCUGAAUAGGGUGAAGCCAGAGGAAACUCUGGUGGAGGCUCGUAGCGAUUCUGACGUGCAAAUCGAUCGUCAAAUUUGGGUAUAGGGGCGAAAGACU
rnacentral:rRNA from 1 species